AAUAAGUACAGUUUUACACUGUUCAUAUUCAACGUUUGACCACUUAUCUUAUUUGAAUUUUUUUUUAUGAUUAGUAAUUUUAUUGUUAUUAGAUGAUAAAAACAUGAUUAGUACUUUAUGUGUAACUAUUCUUUUUUACUUUUUCAUAAAUUUUUAAAAAUAAAACGGACAGUCAAACGUUGGAUAUAGAUAUCAACGGCUACAUUUAUU
rnacentral:pre_miRNA from 1 species